CACCUAUACAUGAGAACAUACAAUAUUUGGUUUUCCAUUCCAUCUCAGAGGCCUUCAAGCCCCCAGGCCUGGUUCCUACUCUAUCAACUGCUCUCUGUCUCCAAAAGACUGUCCUUGCUAAUGUCACCAAGGACCUCUAUGAGCCAAAUUUAGGACUUUUCAGCCUUCAUUUGACUCCCAGUCCCUUCAAUAUUGAAGGCUGUUGACUACCCCUUCAUUUGGAAUCUCUCUGUCCCUUCUUUCAUGUCCUCACACUCUCUCUGACUAGUCCUCCCUCAAGCUUCUCACAAGGAAUGGCUUCCCUUUUCUUCAUACUGCACACUACUGCAGGGUAAGUUAAUCUAGCUCUUUGCAGGGAGCUGUGGACAGAGCUUGGACACACAGGCUGGGGCGUCUACACGUGCAUGCAAGCUCUCAACACACAGGAAGGAACUGGAGGUGGGAAAAUAACUCUCAGGCUGGUCAUGAUCUCUCAAACCAGAAUUCCCUUCAUGCCAGCUGCCUAUGGAGCCUCUAGUCAGUCAUUGUGAUGGUCAUGAGUGACCUCACUGAGUGCUGACUGUGAGCCAGGCUGAGUGAUGCACUUUACGUGGAUUAUCACCCUCUGUGGAGUCCCACACUCCUGUGACUCAGGUGUUGUUACUUCCCUUCAAGGCAUCAAGAAGUUAAGGGACUACCCAAGGCCACUGUAGCUAGUAAGUGGGGAAGGUGGGAUUCACACCCAGGGGUCUUGCUCCAGAGCCUGGGCCUAAAACCACUCAAUAUCUUCAAACAAACCUCCUGCUCCUCUGUCAGCCCUUUGUAUAUCAGAGGUGCCAUUAUUCAUGCCCUCAGAAAAGCCAGGGUCCUGGGAGGAGGGGUCCUCACCUCUCAGACAGGGUCAUCACCUCUUACCUCUUUCUCCGACCCACAUUCAGCCAUCACUAAACCAGGCAAACCCCCAUAUCAGUAACUUUCAAAUCCAUUCCUGUUAGGGAAUGAAUGUUUGUUUCCCCCCUCCAUUCCUGUGUUGAAGCUCUAACACUCACUGUGAUGGUAUUUGGUGAUGGGGCCUUUGGAAGGUGAUUAGGUUUAGAUGAGGUCAUGAAGGUGGGGUCCUCACAAUGGGAUUAGUGCCCUUAUAAGAAGAGACUCCAGGGCUUCCUCUCUACCACAUGAGGACAGAGUGAGAAGAUGGCUGUCUGCAACUGCCCUAAGGGCCAUCACAAGAACUCAACCGUGCAGGUCUUGAUCUCAGACUUCCAGCCUCCAGAACUGGGAAACGCCAUGUGAAGAUUAUGGAUUUCUGCUGCCACAAGCCAAGUAACUACCAGAAGCCAGGAGAGAGGGCUGGAGCAAGGGAGCCUGGCCCUGACGACACCUUGAUCUCAGACUUCGGGCCUCCAUAAUUGCACGAGCCACCAUGCCCGACCAGGACCGGUGUUCUUAUAAGAAGAGAGAGACAUCAGGAAUGGGUGUGUACAGAGAAAAGGACACAGCAAGAUGGUGGCCAUUUGCAAGCCAAGGAGAGAGACCUCAGGAGAAACCAACCCGCCAGCACCUUGAUCUUAGACUUCCAGUCUCCAAAAUUGGGAGAAAAUAAACGUUUGUUGUUUAAGACCCCAAUCUGAUAUUUUGUAAUGGCAGCCCUAGCAGACGAAUACACCCACUGUACCAUCUCUUUACCCCAGUAGACUAUGAAACCCUUGGGGACAGGCACCAUUUCUUCAUCCCUCUGUAUUUCAAUGCCUAGCAUAGUGUCUGGUACCUGGAAGAUGGCCAAAAAAUACUAUCUGAAGGAAUGGUCAAUGAGCAUGUGUGACUCUUACAUGACAAUAUAAUACUGGUCAAAUGCCAGAUCAGAACCUUGAGAUGGCUCCCAUGGAGUCAUUAACAUGCUCUAAUUCACUAAUUGAGGUAGCAAUUGAUCUGGGGCUGGAGUCAGGAAGGGAUAGGUUACAGUGAAGUGUCAAAUAGAACCUGUUCACUGAGUUCCCUUGGCCCAGUGCUUGAUGACAGGAUGUCA
rnacentral:lncRNA from 1 species